CAGAACUGGGAGUAGCUGCCAGCAAGAGUCGCUCGCAGGGAGAGGCAGUGGCUGUUUACCUGCACUGCUCGGCCAGACCAGGGAGGACAGGUGGCUGGAAAGAGAGGAAGGAUUCUUAUUGUCAUUCCCGUUGGUGAUAGUUGGAACAUAAGGAUCUGGAUCACAUCCAGUAACAAAACUAAAACCAGUCCUAUGUCAAGACAAUGUAACAGCCAGUGGAUUGGAGAUGCCCAGCAUAGAAAGAAUUGAAUUAGGCUGCUGCUUACCAAGAAGAAAAAAAUGGUGCAAGAGCAUUGGUUUAACGGACACGUUUUGGAUUUACACUGGCAUCCUGAAAGCAGAAUUGACCCCUGUGGAUGUAGAAGUAUCACGGUAACUGUCCCUAG